GCAGCCUUUCAUGUCUAAAAAAAGCCAAGGCUAGAAAAAAAAUAAAAAUAAAAAGGCAGCCUUUCUUGAUUAAAAAAAAGCCAAGGCUCGAAAAAAAAUAUUGAGCGAAAAAUAGAAAUGAUUCAAAAGAAUAAGUUGACAGAUGGUCGAAAAAUCUUAUGUUUGGGGUGUUGAGCUGUAAGAAAUUUGUAUGCAGUGAGUGAGAUGUGAAAGGUUUUGUGAUGGAUGUGCUAGUAUUUUAAGAAUGGUGGUAAGCUACUUAACCAAAUAUUAUCUCACCUCUACCAAAAGCCCCAUUACAUCCCAAUGAAUAAGACCUUUUGAUUUGUGCAUCAUAUUGACUUGGGAGUGAUGAAUUUUGCUUGAUUUUGGGAGAAAGAUCUUAUGUGCUUAAAAUAAAGAAUAGCUAGAAGAACUUCUCUUUAUGAAUUAGUGACGAUGGUUUGAGACUCCCAAGACACAACUCGAACUUAGAUUGAAGCAUGGGAUGCCUAGUUCUUAGGGAAUUAGUUCGUGUACAAUUCUUGUUCUUAAGUUUUACCCGCGAGUGAAUUCGGGGUCGGCCUAAUUUCCCUACUGAUUCAUAUGGUUUGGCGUGACUUGAAGCAGAGGAUUAUCCAAUAUCUUUAUACAAUGGAAUGGAGGGUAGCGUAUUACUGCUCCUAGCCAAUUUUGGCCACUUUGAUAUUAAGUGUCUCUCAGUUCAUACUAAAGCCGUCAAUGAAGAACUACUGCAAAAUCUGUCUGAUGCUCUACGCUUGACUGUACCUGAUAAAAUUGGAGUUGAUCUUGCUUUGUCUAAAACUGACGAUCACGAUAUCAGGAUGUGUGGAAAGAAUUUUUCUUUGAGUCAGAUUAAAGAGCUGUGUGCCUAUCUAUUGCAUUUGAGGCGACUGAGAUGAUUCAAAAUAUGCUCGUGUUACACUUAGUUGAUCUAACGGCUAAGCAUUCAGAUUCAUUCUUGCAAAUGUUAGCUCUUGUGCAACUAAGGUGCUUUCCGUGAUAGUUCCUCGUGCAAAAAUAGACUAGAAUUUCUUAGUCAAUCUGAAGGCCAAGGCCCAACUACGUGGAGAUCACUUCUUCAGUUUAAAACGCGCCGCGCAGGUGGAAGAGCAAGAUCUGGGGACGGCGGCCCGGUGGGGGCAAGUCGUAUGGCGGUAGGGGGAGACUUAGUUCUUAACUUAUAAGAAGCCGGGGGAAAUGGCUCUUUCCCAAGUACUUCCUAGAUAUGUUUCUUUUUUACUUUGGCAUUCGGUUUGCUGUACCUGCAUUAAAAAAGAAAUCAUGGGCCUUGGAAGCUGGAUGAGCACUCAAUUAGUGUCUAGUAAAGAUGCUUUGUAUGAGGAAUAGAUCAUGUUUCUGAAGGAUGUUCAGGACCUAUCUCCUAGUCACAUUCAAUCUUUGGGUUCACUUUUGAAUAUCUUUCUGGUUGUGUGUAAGGCUGCGUAGCAAGUAGAACUCAGUCCCGUGUUGAGAGCACUACUUCAGUGUUGAUAAGUUCUAGAGAUGUCCCCUGUUCUUCUUCAGUGAGGUUUUCGCUUCCUGUAUAGGGGUGUGAUCCUGGCACCACCCCUUACUUGCUUUCGACCCUAACAAGAAUCACUAACAGAGUUGACAUCGAUGAAUGGAAUCCAUCCACUGAUACACAUCUUCCUUGAUUGAUAACCGCUCUGCAAAUGUUGUGAUGCACUCAAAAUUUUAAAUAUCAUUUCCAGCUUUUUUGUUUGUCUACGACAGUUAGAUCAUCUAUCGAGGGACCGAAUUUGCUUUAGAUUGCAAACUUGAGUUUGCUCAUACUGCUCAUCGAAAUUCUGCUGCUGUUCAUUCCUGGUUGAGUGUAAGGCUGCGUAGCAAGUAGAAGUCAGUCCCGUGUUGAGAGCGCUACUUCAGUGUUGAUAAGUUCUAGAGUAUCCCCUGAGCUUCAACAGUGAGGUGUUAUAGCUGUAACCAUUACUCGUAGGAUUUUUAUGCUAGAGCACUUUGAGCACAAACUUUUGCAGGAACUAACCCGGAGUUGCCCUGGUUCUCACUUCCGGUAUAGGGGUGUGAUCCUGACACCACCCCUUAAUUGCUUUCUACUCAAACAAGUAAGUAUUCUAUCCUCUUUACAUUUUUUGUCCUUCACAUUGAGGGUAAUGUUUAGAAUAGUUUUGAGGUGUGGGUGUCUGCGUGCAUUCUUCUUUUUGGGGUUGUAAUUUAUCCUAUUUGUGUGUAUAUGUAAGGUUUUCUCUCUAUUAAUUGUCACCCGAAACACUUUUUAAUGGUUUAUUAGUGUAGACUUAGUUCUCUCAAGGGUUGGAGAACUAAGAUUCCCUAAUUUAAAACACCUUACUUACUUAUAUUUUAAUAUGUGAAAAUGAAUUUGUGCUGCUGAACAGGACAUGCUGCUGAACAAGACCAAGUACAUAUAUUUUCUAUGGUCGCUUGAAAUUUUCUCUGUGGUGAACGUGGAGUCUGUUGAUGUUUUUUUCCGUUGAAUGGGAUUUACUUUUUAAAUCAAUAAUACUAGCAAAUAACUGAUAUAAAAACAUUGGUAAAGGCUUGUGUUAAUUUAGUCCAUUGAGCAUGGGUUUGGAAUUCAUAUUGUUUGUAUUUUGUCCUUGUUGCCUUUUUUAACCUUGUUUACAUGCAGUCCAAACCAGUGAUGGGGAAUAGAUCAACAACUUUCUAUUAGGAGAUAGCAUAGAGACAGUGUUGUGCCACUUUUUUUAUGCUAGCAUUUAUGUGCAAGGUCAAGUGAGCCUUUUGUCCUAAGCUAGGCCACCUGUCACAUUCACAAAAUGAGUUUAUGAGGUGAUUCCGGACAAAUUCUAGGACAUCUAAGUUGAUUCAGGAAAGAAUCGAUCCAUCCAGAGCUCAAAUGCAUUUCCAGUUUGCCCCUCUGCUUCGUCAGUGGGUGGAUUUUCCUGGAAAUUUGCAUCUCUACUUCUGACCAAAUGAGUGUUAGCACUGGAAUUGGUGCUAUUCCCCACACACCUGAAAUUGGCUCUGACGAGAUGGAUCCUGUUGGAUCCCAGAUUCGUACAAGGAUAAUAUUUCCGAUGAUGACUAUAUAAUUUCAAAAGCUGGGCUCGGUCUAGAAGUGGGAAUGAUGUCAAUCCUACAUGGAGUUAAGGAGGAGCUAACUUCUAAAGGAGGCAAGAUGAGGGAAGAAAUACCUAACUUCCCAUGCAAACAAGAGAGUAUUUUGUUUCCCCUCACAUUUUUUUCCUUCACAUAAAGGGCAAUGUUAAGAUUAAGAUUUGGGGUGAGGGUGUUUGUGUACAUGCUUGAUUAUGUGGUUGUAAAUAAUUUUAUUACUCUAUCUCCGAUGUGUUGAUUCUGAAGGACCCUUUUUCUGAAGUGUAUAUAACGAUGCGAAUACUAAAGAAGUUAUGUGUUUUAAAUAGCAGGACUAUGCCAUGGAGCCCGAUGAGAAACUUAUGCGAAAUGCAGCACAUUAGAUGGUAGCAAGGUUGGCAGGAACUCUUGCUAAUGUAACUUGUUAGUAUCAAGCCAACUCAGAAGGUCACUUCAGGGCUUGGCCAUAGCAAAGGAUCUUCUGGAGCAAUCAUUUUAGCGGGUGACUAAUGGAAUCACAUGCAGCGAUGAUACCGAUGAAUGGAAUCCAUCCACUGAUACACAUCUUCCUCGAUCGAUAGCCGCUCUGGAAAUGUUGAGUGCAAGGCUGCGCUGCAAGCAGAACUCGGUCCGUUGUUAAGAGCGCUAUUUCAGUAUUGAUCAUGUUCCAGAGAUGUCCCCUGAUCUUCAACAAUGAGUUGUUAUAGUUGUAACCACUAAACGUUCUCGCUUCUGUUAUAGGGGUGUGAUCCUGGCGCCAUCCCUUACUUGCUUUCUUACUCAAACAAUCCAACCCAUUUAUGGGGAAAUAGAUCGAUUACUUUCUACUAGAAGAAAGCAUAGAGACAGUGUUGUGCCACUUUUUUUAAUGCUAGCCUUUAUGCUCGAGGUCAAACGGAAGCCCUUUAUCCAAAGCCAAGGCACAUGUCACAUUCACAACGAGUUUAUGAGAAUCGAUCCACCCAGAGCUCCUAAUGCAUUUCCAGUUCGCCCCUCGGCUUCAUCAGGAGCUGGAUUAUCCAGGCAAUUUGCAUCACCACUUCUGACCAAAUGAGUGCUAGCAUUUACUCAUCUGGCCUUGUUAGCACUUGAAUUGGUGCUAUGCCCCAUACACCGGAAAUCGGCUCUAACGAGAUAGAACCUGUUGGAUCCCAAAAACUAAAAGGAAUCAAAUUAGUAAAAUUCCGGUGAUCAUUUUUCAGUUCGCUCAUCUCAUAUUUCAAUUGGCGAUGGUCCACAAACUCUUGAGUUUGGGAGGGGCUAAUUUAUAAAGGAAUCAAGAUGAGAGAAGAAAUACCUAACCCCAUCACCUAACUUCCCAUGCAAACAAGGGAGUAUUUUGUUUACCAUGCAAAUAAUUAGAUUACUCUAUCUCGUUGAUUCUGAAGGACCCUUUUUUCCAUAGUAUAUAUAACAAUGCAAAUGCUAAAGAAGUUAUAUGUUUUUAAAUGGCAGGUCUAUGCCACGGAGCCUGUUGAGAAACUUAUACGAAAUGCAACACAUUUGUAGUAGCAAGGUUGAAAGGAAGUCAUGCUAAUGUAACUUGAAGGUUGAGUGUAAGGCUGCGUAACAAGCAGAACUCGGCCCCGUGAUGUGAGCUUUACUUCAGUGUUGAUCAAGUUCUUGAGAUGUCCCCUUUCAACAGUGAGGUACUUACCCUGGAGUUGCCCUGGUUCUCGGUUCCGGUAUAGGGGUGUGAUCCUAGCACCACUGCUUAUUUGCUUUCUACGCAAAAAAAUAAGAGUUAUUGAGGAGCCAACUUUUUAGGAGACACGAUGAGAAAAGGAAUAGCUUAACCCCCACCACCUAAUUUCCUAUGCAGACAAUGGAGUAUUCUGUCUCGCCUCACAUUUUAUUGUUCAUCACAUAAAGGGAAAUGUUUAGAUUCA